UACGUAGGGUGCAAGCGUUGUCCGGAAUUAUUGGGCGUAAAGAGCUCGUAGGCGGUCUGUCACGUCGGCUGUGAAAACCCGGGGCUCAACCCCGGGCCUGCAGUCGAUACGGGCAGACUAGAGUGCGGUAGGGGAGACUGGAAUUCCUGGUGUAGCGGUGAAAUGCGCAGAUAUCAGGAGGAACACCGAUGGCGAAGGCAGGUCUCUGGGCCACUACUGACGCUGAGAAGCGAAAGCAUGGGGAGCGAACAGG
rnacentral:rRNA from 1 species